GCGAGAGUAAUUCAGUGGUAGAAUGUCACCUUCCCAAGGUGGACGUCGGGGGUUCGAAUCCCCUCUCUCGCU
rnacentral:tRNA from 1 species